GAUGAACGCUGGCGGCGUGCCUAAUACAUGCAAGUCGAGCGAACGGACGAGAAGCUUGCUUCUCUGAUGUUAGCGGCGGACGGGUGAGUAACACGUGGAUAACCUACCUAUAAGACUGGGAUAACUUCGGGAAACCGGAGCUAAUACCGGAUAAUAUUUUGAACCGCAUGGUUCAAAAGUGAAAGACGCUCUUGCUUUCACUUAUAGAUGGAUCCGCGCUGCAUUAGCUAGUUGGUAAGGUAACGGCUUACCAAGGCAACGAUGCAUAGCCGACCUGAGAGGGUGAUCGGCCACACUGGAACUGAGACACGGUCCAGACUCCUACGGGAGGCAGCAGUAGGGAAUCUUCCGCAAUGGGCGAAAGCCUGACGGAGCAACGCCGCGUGAGUGAUGAAGGUCUUCGGAUCGUAAAACUCUGUUAUUAGGGAAGAACAUAUGUGUAAGUAACUGUGCACAUCUUGACGGUACCUAAUCAGAAAGCCACGGCUAACUACGUG
rnacentral:rRNA from 1 species